rnacentral:rRNA from 1 species
GAAGCGGCAACAGCUCAAAUUUGAAAUCUGGCCCUUUCGGGGUCCGAGUUGUAAUUUGUAGAGAGUGUUUCGGGUGAGACCACGGUCUAAGUCCAUUGGAACAUGGCGUCAUAGAGGGUGAGAAUCCCGUAUGUGACUGUGGAUCGAGCCCAUGUGAAGCCUCUUCGACGAGUCGAGUUGUUUGGGAAUGCAGCUCAAAAUGGGUGGUAAAUUUCAUCUAAAGCUAAAUACUGGCUGGAGACCGAUAGCGCACAAGUAGAGUGAUCGAAAGAUGAAAAGCACUUUGGAAAGAGAGUCAAACAGYACGUGAAAUUGUUGAAAGGGAAGCGCUUGCAACCAGACCUGUCCGUAGGUGAUCAGCCGCUGUUCUCAGUGGUGCACUCGCUCUGCGAUCAGGCCAGCAUCGGUUCGGGCGGUCGGAUAAAGGCCUUGGGAAUGUAGCUUCCUUCGGGGAGUCUUAUAGCCCUCGGUGCAAUGCGGCCAGCCGGGACCGAGGACCGCGCUUCGGCUAGGAUGCUGGCGUAAUGGUUGUAAGCGACCCGUCUUGAAACACGGACCAAGGAGUCUAACAUCUAUGCGAGUGUUUGGGCGUUAAACCCAUGCGCGGAAUGAAAGUGAACGGAGGUGAGAACCCUUAAGGGCGCAUCAUCGACCGAUCCAGAUGUCUUCGGAUGGAUUUGAGUAUGAGCAUAGCUGUUGGGACCCGAAAGAUGAUGAACUAUGCCCGAAUAGGGUGAAGCCAGAGGANACUCUGGUGGAGGCUCGCAGCGGUUUCUGACGUGCAAAAUCGAUCGU